rfam:Picea glauca, whole genome shotgun sequence.
GUAUGUACAUGGCUACAACGUUAAAAUAUUGUAUCCCAUUAGAACUCCACAAUUAAGUUUUCUUGGGAUAGAGUAGUAAUGGGAUGGGUGAUCUCACAAGAAGUCCUAGUGUUUUACAUGCC